rnacentral:rRNA from 1 species
UUCCCCCCCCGGGCCCCGGGCCCGUCCCGCCGCCCCCGCCCGCCUAAGGGAGGCAGCAGUGGGGAAUAUUGCACAAUGGGCGAAAGCCUGAUGCAGCGACGCCGCGUGAGGGAUGACGGCCUUCGGGUUGUAAACCUCUUUCAGUAGGGAAGAAGCGUAAGAGUGUCG